GUCGAUGCUGAAUCCGACUUCUCCCUUUCUACAUUGCCUGAGAGAAGUCUUGGGGAAUACUCUGUACACGAAUUUUCACUGUUGGGGAAAACGGAGAGUCAAGGGAUUGGAUUGUGGAUUGCAUUGGUGGUUUUCCUCAGUUUCCUCAUCUUCUCCCCAAGUUUCUACAUAUUGAAUGCAGAGCAGCCCUUCUUCAAAGGACCUCCUACUGAACCUGCUAAGGAACUCAGUCUGUAGCUCUGCGUGGAGCCAUGUGUAAACACUGAACUGAGGCCUGCCACCUCCUACUACCUAAGGGCCCCUUUUCAUCUGAGAUCAUCCCCCAGAAACAAACUCAUGCUGACUUUCAUGUUUUUUUAGAUUACAUACAUGGAGAAUUUUCCUUUCCCUUAGAAUUAAAAUCCUGCAUUCUAAUUUUC
rnacentral:lncRNA from 1 species